ACUCCUACGGGAGGCAGCAGUAGGGAAUCUUCCACAAUGGACGAAAGUCUGAUGGAGCAACGCCGCGUGAACGAUGAAGGCCUCGGUCGUAAGUUACUGUUGUAAGGGAAGAACAAGUAGCCGCAGGCAAUGGCGGCACCUUGACGGUACCUUGCGAGAAAGCCACGGCUAACUACGUGCCAGCAGCCGCGGUAAUACGUAGGUGGCAAGCGUUGUCCGGAAUUAUUGGGCGUAAAGCGCGCGCAGGCGGCCUCUUAAGUCUGAUGUGAAAGCCCCGGCUCAACCGGGGGAGGGCCAUUGGAAACUGGGAGGCUUGAGUAUAGGAGAGAAGAGUGGAAUUCCACGUGUAGCGGUGAAAUGCGUAGAGAUGUGGAGGAACACCAGUGGCGAAGGCGACUCUUUGGCCUAUAACUGACGCUGAGGCGCGAAAGCGUGGGGAGCAAACAGGAUUAGAUACCCUGGUAGGAUAGCG
rnacentral:rRNA from 1 species